CCUANGGGGGGCAGCAGUAAGGAAUAUUGCGCAAUGGGCGAAAGCCUGACGCAGCGACGCCGCGUGGGGGAUGAAGGUCUUCGGAUUGUAAACCCCUUUCGGGAGGGAAGAUGGAAUGGGGUAACCCAUUCGGACGGUACCUCCAGAAGCAGCCACGGCUAACUUCGUGCCAGCAGCCGCGGUAAUACGAAGGUGGCAAGCGUUAUUCGGAUUUACUGGGCGUACAGGGAGCGUAGGCGGUUUGGUAAGCCCUCUGUGAAAUCUUCAGGCUUAACCUGGAAAAGUCGGAGGGGACUGCUGGGCUAGAGGACGGGAGAGGAGCGCGGAAUUCCCGGUGUAGCGGUGAAAUGCGUAGAGAUCGGGAGGAAGGCCGGUGGCGAAGGCGGCGCUCUGGAACGUUUCUGACGCUGAGGCUCGAAAGCGUGGGGAGCAAACAGGAUUAGAUACCCCGNUANUC
rnacentral:rRNA from 1 species